UAAAGAAAGUAAGAAAGGGCGUAUGGCGGAUGCCUAGGCUCACGGAGGCGAUGAAGGACGUGAUAAGCUGCGAUAAGCUUCGGGUAGGUGCAAAUAACCUUUGAUCCGGAGAUUUCCGAAUGGGACAACCUAGCCGUCUGAAGGACGGUUACUCUUCUAAUGUAAGAGAGCUAACGCAGGGAACUGAAACAUCUUAGUACCUGUAGGAAGAGAAAAUAAAUUAAUGAUUCCCCUAGUAGUGGCGAGCGAACGGGGAACAGCCCAAACCAGUGGCGUCGCAAGGCGUGGCUGGGGUUGUAGGACCGCGACAUUGUAUGCAAAUCGUGAACAGAACACUUUGGAAAAUGUGACCAUAGACGGUGAUAGUCCAGUAUGUGAAGCGAAAUGCAGCAUAGCGGUAUCCUGAGUAACGCGGGACACGAGGAAUCCUGCGCGAAUCUGCCGGGACCAUCCGGUAAGGCUAAAUACUCCCGUGAGACCGAUAGCGAACGAGUACUGUGAAGGAAAGGUGAAAAGAACCCCGAGCAGGGGAGUGAAAUAGUUCCUGAAACCAUGCGCCUACAAGCGGUCGGAGCAUCUUACGAUGUGACGGCGUGCCUUUUGCAUAAUGAUCCUACGAGUUACCGUCACUGGCGAGGUUGAGUGUCACGAGAC
rnacentral:rRNA from 1 species